GACGAACGCUGGCGGCGUGCUUAACACAUGCAAGUCGAACGGUGAAGGAAGAGCUUGCUUUUCUGGAUCAGUGGCGAACGGGUGAGUAACACGUGAGUAACCUGCCCUUGACUCUGGGAUAAGCGUUGGAAACGACGUCUAAUACCGGAUAUGUACUGCGACCGCAUGGUCUGUAGUUGGAAAGAUUUUUUGGUCAAGGAUGGACUCGCGGCCUAUCAGCUUGUUGGUGAGGUAAUGGCUCACCAAGGCGACGACGGGUAGCCGGCCUGAGAGGGUGACCGGCCACACUGGGACUGAGACACGGCCCAGACUCCUACGGGUGGCUG
rnacentral:rRNA from 1 species